UACGGGAGGCAGCAGUGGGGAAUAUUGCACAAUGGGCGCAAGCCUGAUGCAGCCAUGCCGCGUGUAUGAAGAAGGCCUUCGGGUUGUAAAGUACUUUCAGUCGUGAGGAAGGUGUUAAGGUUAAUAACCUUAGCAAUUGACGUUAGCGACAGAAGAAGCACCGGCUAACUCCGUGCCAGCAGCCGCGGUAAUACGGAGGGUGCGAGCGUUAAUCGGAAUUACUGGGCGUAAAGGGCACGCAGGCGGUUAAUUAAGUUGGAUGUGAAAUCCCCGGGCUUAACCUGGGAAUGGCAUUCAAGACUGGUUAGCUAGAGUCUUGUAGAGGGGGUAGAAUUCCGAUGUGUAGCGGUGAAAUGCGUAGAGAUGUGGAGGAAUACCGGUGGCGAAGGCGGCCCCUGGACAAAGACUGACGCUCAUGUGCGAAAGCGUGGGGGCAAACAGGGAUUAGAUACC
rnacentral:rRNA from 1 species